rnacentral:misc_RNA from 1 species
AAAGAUUUGUAAUACAUUACAUGGAUCAUGCAGUCACCCACAUAACUGGAAAUGGCAAUGCAUUCUUACUAAUUUGUUUCGAACAAUCCUGUGUUAUUUGCAUCAUGAAUACUGGUAGAUUUUAUUUGAUAUGAGUUGGCAAUUAUUUGAGAUUAUGUAAGUUUUAACUUUCUUUUGAUUUACCAUAUUUUUUGUUGUGGCAAUAACUGAAUGUUAUUGAAAAAUAUUUUUCAAUAUGAUAUUAUUUGCAGUAUGUAUGUGUCAAGUUUUCAACAUUGAUCAGUAUUAAAAUCAUGUUUUGACAUGAAAGAUGGAAUUCAAAUUCAACACACAAUAUGGAAUUUAUAGAUUAACACAGUAAUUAAAUACCAAUGUGACAUGAGAAAUGAUAAAUAUUAUGAUGCUGACAACAUAUAGAGCUAUUUGAUAUAUCCAAAUCAACACCUGUACUUUAGCACAUCAAACCUUUGUUGUGAUUAAAGCCCAUUUGCUAGUAAUAUAUAUUAUAACAAUGUGUAAGGUUGACAGAACAGAAAUACCUGUCUUGUUUAUGUCAAAUUAUGUAACUGCAGUCUGACAAUCACGUGUUGUGUUAGCUAGUCUCUAAAAAUGACGGGAAAAAUUAUAAACCAUUCCUUGAUGCAAAGCUGUCUUAUUUCUUUUACAUUUAUUUCUGUUUUCAAUGAAGAAUACUUAAAACAGUU